rnacentral:rRNA from 1 species
AGGUUACUGCUAUCGGUGUUCGCCUAAGCCAUGCGAGUCAUAUGUUCUUCGUGAACAUGGCGUACUGCUCAGUAACACGUGGAUAACCUGCCCUUUGGGUCCGGCAUAACCCCGGGAAACUGGGGAUAAUUCCGGAUAACGCACAUAUGCUGGAAUGCUUUAUGCGUCAAAUGGAUUCGUCCGCCCAAGGAUGGGUCUGCGGCCUAUCAGGUAGUAGUGGGUGUAAUGUACCUACUAGCCUACGACGGGUACGGGUUGUGAGAGCAAGAGCCCGGAGAUGGAUUCUGAGACAUGAAUCCAGGCCCUACGGGGCGCAGCAGGCGCGAAAACUUUACAAUGCGGGAAACCGUGAUAAGGGGACACCGAGUGCCAGCAUCAUAUGUUGGCUGUCCGGGUGUGUAAAAUACACCUGUUAGCAAGGGCCGGGCAAGACCGGUGCCAGCCGCCGCGGUAACACCGGCGGCCCGAGUGGUGAUCGUGAUUAUUGGGUCUAAAGGGUCCGUAGCCGGUUUGGUCAGUCCUCCGGGAAAUCUGACGGCUUAACCGUUAGGCUUUCGGGGGAUACUGCCAGACUUGGAACCGGGAGAGGUAAGAGGUACUACAGGGGUAGGAGUGAAAUCUUGUAAUCCCUGUGGGACCACCUGUGGCGAAGGCGUCUUACCAGAACGGGCUCGACGGUGAGGGACGAAAGCUGGGGGCACGAACCGGAUUAGAUACCCGGGUAGUCCCAGCCGUAAACGAUGCUCGCUAGGUGUCAGGCAUGGCGCGACCGUGUCUGGUGCCGCAGGGAAGCCGUGAAGCGAGCCACCUGGGAAGUACGGCCGCAAGGCUGAAACUUAA